GGCAGUACUCAGUGCGUGAGCCUCCCAGCGUGGCCACCUAAUCUGUCCUCCCACUCUCUCCUCCAGCCCCUUCGAGCCCCUCACCCAGUGACAGGCAUGCAGGGCGGGCGCAGGGCACAAGGCCGGGCUGCCCUCAGCCUGAGGUCUGGUCCCGAUCACAGGACUCAGCAAACACAGCGUGUCUGCAUGUCACUCACCUGGACUGCCAACAUUAGCUUUGUACGUGUCACCACAAUCGUAUGAGGAAAUGCUGACAUACACGAUUUCUUUGCACGACACCGAAGCUCUGCUCACUUCCCACCCGUGGGAGCUGCCGAACGGUUUACUUUCCACACCGGGAACUUGAGUCCCUGAACAUCAGGACGCAGGAAGGCGACGGUGAGGAGGGCCCUCAGCGGGCUUCUAAGAACCCCCAAAACCCGAUGUUUAAAGCAGGAUGCGGGCCACGUGGGAGCUUGUUUUACGCUCAUUCUUUAAAUUCUCCGUAUAAUUACAUACACCCUUCUAGAGACAACCUUAAAUACCACUGCUCAGAACGAGAUUAAUGAAAUGCCAUUUUGCUCGACUUCUGAAAACAGUAACUAACAGUGACGUGCUGACUGUUUGCCACACGUUGUUCUGAGCGUCUCCUGCGCGAUCACGGUUACUCCUCAAGCAACUCCUGGUGUGGAAACCUUGGCAUCCUCUCCACAGAUGGAGACACUGAGGCACAGAGCAAGUCCUUGCGCAGACUCACACAGCCAGCAGUGAAACCACAUUUAAACUGGAUGCUCUCAGCCCUUCCCGCUCGUAGAGGGUGCAGCGCCUGACACUGAUACCGGUGUCAGCGGGGACUGAGGACGGGGCCCCAAACUGGCAGGACCUCCCUGGGAAGCAUUUAGGGGUCCCCACCACAGCACGCCUUAGGCUCAUGCCUUUCCGACCUGGCACAUUCCUCUACACAGAAUCCAGCCGAAAUAGUCAGAAAUUCAGAAGAUUUGUAUUAUGAAAACAUUCGUUAAGAACAAACUCCUAACACUGGAAACGGCCUACGUAAACGUCUACCCACAGGACAAGGGCGACUCCUGGUUCCCCCAGGGAGGAGGACGAGGCAGCCACUGGAAGUGGAGUGUGACAGAAAUGCCCGGGUCCAAAUGUGAAGUGAAAACAGCAGGACACAAGGCUGUCGGGGUACAGCAGAGGUACCAACUGGGAUCAAAGAAGCAGGAGGGAAGCAGUGACGACCUCUGGGAGAAGGAGAGACGCAUCUUCUAGGUGGUUCCUGUAACCAUUUCCCUUGAUAAGUGCAAAGGACAGGACAGAGUCAGACCUGGGCAGGGUCAGCAGAAACAGCAGGGGAGCUCGCUGCUGCCUCUGAGGGACCCUGUCAAUGGCCCACCCACCGGGGGACACUGGUGAUGCCACGUGGGGCCCACAAACCUUUUCAGUUUCCUUCCAGGCUCAUUCAGGAAGGACUCACAGAGGUAUGAGGAGUAUUUGCUAACGAGGAGAUGAAUAAACUAGUAUCUUUUAGAUGCAGAUCCUAGUGAGGGGCAGAAAUCACUACCUACCAGGGCCCCUCCCCACGUGGAAAUCCUACUUCUGCUUUUCAAGACUGUCACUCUGGAGCUGCAUCAGAAAAACAGCAGCAUUUCAAAGAUCAUUCAUUCAGUCCAUAUACUUAAGAUUCCAGAUGCAUUAAAAACUUCACUCAGUAAAAUCUACUUUUAGGCAGAAAACACUACGAACAAGCUCUUCUUGCUUUCUGGUUUGCUACAAUUAAUAAUUUAGCAUAUUAAGGGGACAACUAAGAGAAACACUGAGUUCUUAAUCUCAAGUCACAUUAAUUAUAUAUCCCUUAAACAUGAAUCUUUCCUUGGGAAUUACAUUCCAUCAGCAAACUUCCUCCCCACGAUCUUGUUUGGGAAUCUGAGGGACCCCUAGGUUGAUCAAAAGUACGUUCUCUGGUAGGUGAGGAAGUGGGUGGUGAGGCUGGAAUGUGCUGAGCGUCUCUCCCUCUUGCUCACUCCGCACCUCCCAACCCCAGCUUCAGGACAAAAGGUCAAAAGCUAAAAUAAAACCUAGAGCUACUGGCACUUCCAAUGAAAUGGGAGCCUUUCUCUGGGGCUCCAGUCCUACCAGGGCCCCACCUCCAGCACCGCCCACUCACCCCGGCCCCUCUGCUGGGCUGGGACCCUACAGGGCCCCCCUGACGCCUGCAGCAGGCCCAGCGCAGUCCCCUCUCCUGGGCUGACACUCACCACUCGCUCCACCCCUUCCCCUCCUGUGUCCGAGUCCUUCAGCCGCAGUGUGGACUGAGCUGCUCUGUCCUACCCCCCAGGACUGUGCACCCCGAGGGCAGAGCGUCCUCCCAGGCGAGAUGCAAGAUCCUUGGGAGCAGCACUGGACCCGGGGGAACUGCCCAAAGUGCUUACAACACCCUGGAUGCUGUUUACUCUCCAUCAGUGUGUCCCCCCCAUAAACACGCACCCACAGCGAUACGGACACCUGUUCUAAGGACCCUAACAGGCCAUCUUGUAAGGAAAGUGCCACCUCAAUGUGGUCAAACUUGCUGUUUAAUCCUCAGAAGCUUCUCUCUCCUUGAAAUAGGAAAAAGACAAAAGCCAGCCCCCAGAAUGCCACUGGCCAUGUAAGUAAGUGUCAUCUGGCAGGAACACCCCCAGCAAUGUGAACUUCCGGGGUCUGCAACACGGAAGAGAGCCCCGCUCGUUUCUAACCCAGAAUGCCUAUCCUGACGCCUGAAAAAGCACCAGAAACAGAUGCUCUCCCUCCCGGGCCUCCUUAUCUGCAAAUUCUGAAUAAAGACUUUCUUCUUGGGAACAACAAUGGCCAGUGAAACACAGAGAGCCUCUGUCCCAGUGUCAGCGGCCAACUCCCACAGUAACACUUCACAUCGGCAGCAGAGAAAGACCUAUUUUGUGGAGCACGACAUACGCGCACACCUCUACCGCUCACCCAUGUAGAUGGGAGUUCAGUCAGCAGGACAAGGAGAGGACGAGGAAGAAAAGCAGGACGGCGGCUGGCCCGUCCGUGUUCCGCCCUGUCUUAGCCAACGCCGAGCCCCUGCCACGCGCUUUCACACCGGCCGGAGUCCCUGGGUGGGUUCAACACCCACAGGCCUGUCCGCCGGCUGCCAGGAGCCAUCACCGUAUUUUCUUCCAGUGCUUUCCGCCUGUCCCAGUGCCUGUCUUUCUUCCUACCGAUUCUUAUCUUCAGAACUGUCUUCCUUUUGCUGUGCUUGUGCGGAAAGGAGGUUGGAGCUCAGAAUCUACAGACGGGGCGUAAGCGAACGAAACUCAUGGCUUUCCUGAACGCCGACCUUCUGAGUUCCAGUCUAGAAGGAACACCACCCUCUGCUCUCGGGUCAAUCUAACAGCCGGAAAGGAACAACCCGCACGCAGCUCGAUCUCUGACUCCAGGCAAAGGUCCUUAGACAGCAAACGACACUGCAGCUUGAGAAGCAGCAGCUAGAGGAGAAGGUCAGAGCCGACCACCUACUUUCACAAAGGCGGGGGACCCAAACCAUCCUCCCAGCUGCACAGAAAGCGCCAAGAGACCUGGCACAGGGACCUGAGCAGAUCGCACAGAGGCCAGUGAGACCACAGGCAAAUGCUCCAGAGGGACAUGGGCCCGCCCUUGAUUGGAAAGCAGUUCUGAGUCAGUUCAGGCCCACUCUGCACCUGGGGACAUCUCCGUCACGGCACAGUUCCCUGGAGUGUCCAUGUCUGCAGACUGGCCCGAGCUGGCAGGUGCCUGGACCCCAUGCCAAGCUCUGACCAGGUACAUGGCGUCAAGUUCAUGAAAAGGACGGACUGAAAUUGUCCUGGGCCAGAGGAGACCGAGGGGCUCGACCACGAGACACAAUGUGAUCCCCGGAUGAAAUCCUGGAACAAAAGAGGACACUGGGGGAACCUAACGCAAACCCCAAACGGGUGAGCAUUUAGUUAACAGCACACAUCGAUUUCUGACUAUUGACAGAUGUGGCAUGCUUGCACAGAUGUUAACACGAGGGGAAGUAGGUGAUGGGUACCAUGCAAGCUCCGUGCCGUCUUUGCAACUUUUGUAUACAUCAAAAAAUAUUCCAAAAUGAAGUUUAUUAUAAAAAUAAGUUUGUUUGGAGGC